UACGGAGGAUUCAAGCGUUAUCCGGAUUUAUUGGGUUUAAAGGGUGCGUAGGCUGUUAAGUAAGUUAGAGGUGAAAUCCCGUGGCUCAACCACGGAACUGCCUCUGAUACUGCUUAGCUAGAGAAUAGUUGCUGUGGGCGGAAUGUGUGGUGUAGCGGUGAAAUGCUUAGAGAUCACACAGAACACCGAUUGCGAAGGCAGCUCACAAAGCUAUAUCUGACGCUGAGGCACGAAAGCGUGGGGAGCAAACAGG
rnacentral:rRNA from 1 species